UGUGGCAAAAAGGUAAAGCACUCGGCUGCUAACCAAAAGGUUGGUGGUUCAAACCCACCCA
rnacentral:tRNA from 1 species